ensembl:lncRNA
AUGCUAGAAGAUGACCCAAGCAUCUGCCCUGAGGGGAUAGCCCUCCAGUUGCGGAGCCUCCUCAAGUCCUCCUCCUCCUCCCUACUCCAGCACCUGCAUUCCAUCUGGGAGAAAGAAGCGCCGCUGGAGCAUUCGGCCGGCGUGGUGGCCUUCUACGUCCAGCUGCUGAAGAUCGGCCAGCGCCCACACUCCUCGGAGAAGGCCUGGGCACUGCUGACGGCCUGGCUUCAACAUCACAGCCUGGCCGUCCAACAUCAGAGCAGGCAGGGCCUUCUCCUGCUCUGCGAGACAUACUGGGAGACCAUGGGCCUUCAGGAACUCCUAGACGGCAUCAUCGGCGGAAUGCAAUCACCGCACACUAACAUCGCCAUGGAGUUCCUGAACCUGGCUGGCCAGCUGGAGCCCCUGCUGCAUAUUGAAGACCGGGCCCUUGCGAAGGUUCACCUAACUGCCACGUGCCGCCGCCUCUUCCACCAUGAGGCGGCCAACAUCCGAACGGCAGCCCUCGAAUGCUUCCGGCAUUUCAUCUGGCGCCCGGGACAUCCUCUUCAGGAGCGUCAAACCAUCAGUGACCUCCUGGUGGUGCUGAUGCAUGUGGAGGAUGAGGAUGAGGAGGUGGCCAAGACUGCGAGGGAGACCCUCAGGGAGGCGGCGGACGUCCUGAAUUGGCACCUGAAGGACAGCGUUCUGGCGGAGGACACCUUCAGCUUGCAGGAGCUGCUGCAUAAGAUCUCCAAGCGCCUGAUCCAUCAUUGCCGCCCCAGGAAAGAGUUGGAGGAACAGGUGUAUGGCUGCCUCCGUAUCUUUAAAAGCCAACGUCCAUCGGCUAGAAAGGUGGCAGCCAUGUUAGUCGGCCACAUUCUGCACAACAACUACAAGAUGUGUGCCGACAGGAACCUCUACACCUACCACACCUGGCUGAUGAACCUCCUUGAAGACCGUGACCCUGAAGUCAGGCGAGUUGGCAGGGAGACUAAGAUCAUCCUUGCCAGGGUCACCGCCCUACACCACCGACAAGGGCUGCGGGCUGCUCUUCGGCGCUUGGCGGCUCCCUGCAGGCGGGAGAGGUACCCCCCAGAGUACGCCAAGAGGCCACCCGCCUGAUGGACUGGAACACCACGAUCCCACGUGCGCCCGCCCGGAACACCUCCGCUCCAGCUGUGCCGCAUCACCAAAGGGAAGUAGCAUUCAGGAGGCGGGAGUCUGCCCAGCCCUGGCCCAGGGAAGCCCUGCCCCCCCGCCCCCAUUCUGGGCCCCAUCGUCACCCUGGGGCCCUGGGGAGCAGAACAGAGCAGAGCAGAGAAGGAAGACCAUCUGGGCCGCCCAGGCCCCUGUGCUGUGCUCUGUUCUGUGUGGGAUUUGGGGGCCUGGAGGGGAGGGACAGAGCCAUCCCAAGGUAAUUUUUGGGAGUAGGUGACCAGAAUUUUGGCGACCCUCCCAAACAAAUUGCUGAUAAAUACCGGUGCCGGCGAUGGAAGGCCCAGCCACCUGUCCGCACGGCCACUCUCCUGCUCUCCCUCGCUGUCCAAGGACUCCUUGCCCGCCGCCUGCCUGUCGAUGGGCCUGUGUGUGUGCGCAGUCCUUCCAAUCGACCACGUGGUUGAUUGGAAGGCCUGCACACAUGCACAGGCCCAUCGCCAGCUGAGCCACCCAUCGGCGAGCGAUCAAAGCCCUGCACGUGCGCACAGGAGUCCCAUCAGCCAUUUUGGGCUUCGAUCGCUCACGCAGAUGGAUGGCUGGCAUGCCUUACAUAUCCGCGUGAGUGAUCAAAGCCCUGCGAAUGCGCACAGGAGUCCCAUUGGCCAUUUUGGGCGAUGAGACUUCUGUCCGCACACGCAGGGCUUCCAUUGCCUUGAGGCAGAAAAAAGCAUGGGCGAUGGCGGCGGGCAACGGCAGCAGGCACCAUGCUUACACGGCGGCGCCUCGAGUGCGUCCCUGUGGCUGUGCGCCACAGGCGACCGCUUAAUUUGCCUCGCCGUUGGACCGCCUCUGGGGAGGGGCCACCACCUGCACCCUGGGCCUUUCUCUUCCACAUGGGCUGGGCCCCGCCUCCUUUGACCUACAACCCCCCCCUCCCUGACCCCUCCCUCUCGGCCUGGGAUGCCACCACCGCCCCCUCCCUCCAUCCCUUCUCCAAGGUGGGAUCCCUUUCAAGGGCGCUUCUUCCUCCCUCUUGCCCCACCCAAGAGGGGCAACCUCUCUUCCCCUCC